GUGGAUAGAAACCUUAGCUGCAGAGGCGAUUUUUGCCUCUCUCAUCGUCAACAUUGCCGUAAUCAGCAAAUUUGAGGGUCCAACCUGUUGUUGCAGUCUUAAACCUCCAUUUUAGGCAAGAGCAUUUAUUGCUCUCAUCCUCUCUCCUCUUUCACCGUCGUUGGAUAACCCAACAGCAAGGUAAACCCCUUUGCAUUUCCCUUUUGCUUUUUAUGCUAAAUUAAGGACGAAACCUUAAUGGUUUUUGUUCAUUUGUUCUCGAUUUCUAUUGGUUUUCAAUGAAUCACAAUGAUUCAAGAAGAGUUCUUGCAAAACUCAUUGUUCCACAUCGAUUCACAACCAGAAAAUUGGGGUUUUAUCUAAAGAACCCCAUUUCUACCAAGUUACACACACCUGCUAUCAUAUAUUCACAUCGGGUUUCUACCAAGUUACACACACCUGAUAUCAUAUAUUCACAUCUCAAAAAACUCAUAACUAGGGUUUAACAAAAGUAACCGAUCAGAAUUGGAUACUUUGACCUAACUUUAGUUUAUUUUUUCGAGUUUAAGUCUAAAUUUUUAUGUGGUUGAGUCUCGGGUAUUGGGGAUUUGCAAGGAUCUCCAACUUCAAUUGUCAACCAAGGGCUGCACUUAAGAAAGUGUUGGGCCAAAAUCCCAACAACACUUUUAUUCUCGAGUCCGCACAAAUGGAAUCAAAGAAGGCCCAACCAUGUGUGAAAAUGGUUAACUGGUAGGCUUAGGUAGACCCACCUGCCUAAGUUUUCUCUUUUUCAUUUUUUGAUAUUCGUAUGUUAUAUAUAUUUUGUUGUACAUGUAAACAACUUGUGAAAUAUUGAAACCCAAAUGCGAUUGGAACUUAGGAGAAAAACAUGUAGUAGCUAAGUGUUUUUCUAAAACAACUUUCAAAGUCAAAUACGGUUUAUGAUAA